CAAUAGCGUAUAUUUAAGUUGUUGCAGUUAAGAAGCUCGUAGUUGGAUUUCGGUUAAGAGCGACCGGUCCGCCGUUUGGUGUGCACUGGUUGGUUUUAACUUCCUGUAGAGGACGUGCUCUGGGUUUAACGACCUGGACUCGGAGUCUACGUGGUUACUUUGAAAAAAUUAGAGUGUUCAAAGCGGGCUUACGCUUGAAUAUUUCAGCAUGGAAUAACACUAUAGGACUCCUGUCCUAUUUCGUUGGUCUCGGGACGGGAGUAAUGAUUAAGAGGAACAGUUGGGGGCAUUCGUAUUUCAUUGUCAGAGGUGAAAUUCUUGGAUUUAUGAAAGACGAACUUCUGCGAAAGCAUUUGCCAAGGAUGUUUNCAUUAA
rnacentral:rRNA from 1 species